CUGCAGUUUCGCCUGGAAGAGAAUAGAGGAGUGAAGAAGGCUGUUUCGUCAGAGUGCUGACAGAUAACAAGAGUGUAAAGUGCUCAACAUAGUGCCUAGAGCGUACUAAGCCCUCAAAUAGCUUUAUCGUUUAUUACCCUUUUUAUAUUACAACUUUAUGAAGUGAUAAGAUCUCAUUUUAAAAGGAGGAAAAUGAGAUUGAGGCGUUAAGAGACUUACUCAGUGUCACACGGCUGAUAGACGAUGGAGAUGGGAUUUGAACACAGGUUCCGAUUGUAACUGUCUCAGCUUGAGAGAUGAGGACGUGAGAACUGGUAACCACAAGCACAUUUUCUUUCAACUGGUCCAUGAGUGCAGUUUUAUUGAAGCACAGCCCUGCCCCUCCGUCUGUGUUGAGCACAGCUGCUGUCAUGUGAAAGAAGAUUGGAUCUUGGUUACCCAGAAUCAUCACACAAUCUGUUUCAGGAAGAAAGAUUCCAUAGCAUGAUAUGUGACUGAGGCAAGAAGGGCAUAGAAACCAUGCACAAUUGCUGACAUUAUAUCUACCUUUUGGAAUAAUUUCAUCUGGGUUACCUGUCAUCCGACCUGAAAAUCAAGUGACAAGAAAAGAGUAGUGACUAUAAAGUCCUCGAAAAC